CUUGACUACUCUCUAAAUUUACUAACCAACUCAAAUCCCUUUAGCUUUAGUUAAAAAUCAACCAAGGUUAAUUGAAGGCUAAAUUAUUCAGAUAUAUCCAAACCUUAAGCCUAAUUGAAUUGCAAAUGAACACUAAAUUGAAUGAACAAGCAAAACUAAAAUAAAUAAACUAACAUAAGUAUUAAUUCAUUCAAACAAAAUCAAAC
rnacentral:lncRNA from 1 species